GAUGAUCAGAUGCUGUAAUGUGUGUGUGUGUGUGUGUGUGUGUAAAUGAGAAAUUGAGCCAAGUCCAAACUAA